rnacentral:rRNA from 1 species
UCGGGAAUUUUGGGCAAUGGGCGAAAGCCUGACCCAGCAACGCCGCGUGAGGGAUGAAGUAUUUCGGUACGUGAACCUCGAAAGAAUGGGAAGAAUAAAUGACGGUACCAUUUAUAAGCUCCGGCUAACUACGUGCCAGCAGCCGCGGUAAUACGUAGGGAGCAAGCGUUGUUCGGAUUUACUGGGCAUAAAGGGCGCGUAGGCGGCGCGGUAAGUCACUUGUGAAAUCUCUGAGCUUAACUCAGAACGGCCAAGUGAUACUGCUGUGCUAGAGUGCGGAAGAGGCAACCGGAAUUCUUGGUGUAGCGGUGAAAUGCGUAGAUAUCAAGAGGAACACCUGAGGCGAAGGCGGGUUGCUGGGCCGACACUGACGCUGAUGCGCGAAAGCCAGGGGAGCAAACG